UGGUGGAUUGAUUUGUCUGCUUAAUUGCGUUAACGAACGAGACCUCGACCUGCUAAAUAGUUCGACAAAAGCUUGCUUCUGUUUGUGACUUCUUAGAGGGACUAUCGCUGUUGAGGCGAUGGAAGUGCGAGGCGAUAACA
rnacentral:rRNA from 1 species